CAGCGGUGGUGAUGUGACCAGGAUUGGGCUGAUUGUUCACAAGACCAGGAAGCAGGAUUUUCAGGUGUUGGCUGGAUCGGCUGGCUUUCUGAUGGCCAGCUAUGCCUUGGGAGCUGUGGGGGGCGUCUGCGCCCUGGCCAAUGUCCUGGGGGCUCAGGUGUGCCAGCUGGAGCGACUGUGCUGCACGGGGCAAUGGGAAGAUGCCCAGAAACUGCAGCACCGCCUCAUUGAGCCAAACGCUGCGAAAAUCCUUUGAGAGAACAUCCCAGUGUGGGAACUCCUUGUGACUCCCAGAAAAUCCUGACUUCGGACAAAGUCGAGCACCACUGAUUGUCAAACUUAAGUGUGCAUUAAAAUUUCCUUGGGGGCGAAUUAAAGUUCCAA
rnacentral:lncRNA from 1 species